rnacentral:rRNA from 1 species
GAUGAACGCUGGCGGCGUGCCUAAUACAUGCAAGUCGAGCGAACGGACGAGAAGCUUGCUUCUCUGAUGUUAGCGGCGGACGGGUGAGUAACACGUGGAUAACCUACCUAUAAGACUGGGAUAACUUCGGGAAACCGUAGCUAAUACCGGAUAAUAUUUUGAACCGCAUGGUUCAAAAGUGAAAGACGGUCUUGCUGUCACUUAUAGAUGGAUCCGCGCUGCAUUAGCUAGUUGGUAAGGUAACGGCUUACCAAGGCAACGAUGCGUAGCCGACCUGAGAGGGUUAUCGGCCACACUGGAACUGAGACACGGUCCAGACUCCUACGGGAGGCAGCAGUAGGGAAUCUUCCGCAAAGGGCGAAAGCCUGACGGAGCAACGCCGCGUGAGUGAUGAAGGUCUUCGGAUCGUAAAACUCUGUUAUUAGGGAAGAACAUAUGUGUAAGUAACUGUGCACAUCUUGACGGUACCUAAUCAGAAAGCCACGGCUAACUACGUG